rnacentral:rRNA from 1 species
AUUGAACGCUGGCGGCAUGCCUUACACAUGCAAGUCGAACGGCAGCACGGGAGCAAUCCUGGUGGCGAGUGGCGAACGGGUGAGUAAUAUAUCGGAACGUGCCCAGUCGUGGGGGAUAACGUAGCGAAAGCUACGCUAAUACCGCAUACGAUCUAUGGAUGAAAGCGGGGGAUCGCAAGACCUCGCGCGAUUGGAGCGGCCGAUAUCAGAUUAGGUAGGUGGUGGGGUAAAAGCUCACCAAGCCGACGAUCUGUAGCUGGUCUGAGAGGACGAGCAGCCACACGGGGACUGAGACACGGCCCCGAAUCCUACGGGAGGCAGCAGUGGGGAAUUUUGGACAGUGGGCGCAAGCCUGAUCCAGCAAUGCCGCGUGCAGGAUGAAGGCCUUCGGGUUGUAAACUGCUUUUGUACGGAGCGAAAAGGCUUCCACUAAUACUGGGGGCUCAUGACGGUACCGUAAGAAUAAGCACCGGCUAACUACGUGCCAGCAGCCGCGGUAACAC